ACCGGCCUCAGCCCCGCGCCCGCCGUCAGCGUCGAGACGCAGACGGAGUUUCACUCUUGUUGCCCAGGCUGGAGUGUAAUGGCCUGAUUUCAGCUCACUGCAACCUCUACCUCCUGGGUUCAAGCAAUUCUUCUGCCUCAGCCUCCCAAGUAGCUGGGAUUGCAGGCCCUCCUGGUGGGAUCCCACCGCAUCCCCUGCCUCCACUGUCAUCUGCUCCACGUGGUAUCUCCAGGGGGACCUCUCUGCUGGGCUCCAGGCCGCAUAGCUGUGGGCGGCCAGCACGAUGUCCCACCAGGACCCCUGCAGUCCCAGUGCCCCCGCCUGCUCAUCUGGGGACCUGUCCUCACUGCCUGCUGCCUGAACUGUGUGGAAGGACAGAGGCUAAACGAGGAAGCCGGGAACUCUGGUCUCAUGGACAUGGCAGCCUGCCCACCACCCACGCCUGCCCAGCCUUUCUUCACGCAGCGCUUAAAACGUGGAGAGCGGAAUCUUCUGGGCCCAGGUAACACACCUUUGCUCCGACAUUCCCUUCACUACUCACUGGCAAGCUCAGUUGGAAAUUCGCUCCCAGUAGGAGGUUCCGCAGCAGACACAUGGCUUCAGCAGUUCCAGUCUAAAUUUCGAGGCAUAAGCUGCCGCUGGGGGGGUGAGCCAUCUCCAGCACAGAGCGUCAGUCUCACCAGAAGAGGAUGAGGCAAGAGAGCUCAGCUGCUGGAGGUUCUCCUCCUCACCGGGCAACUUAGGGUUAGAACAUCUACAGCCUCUGUCCACUGUAACUUUGUCCAAUAAUUUCACUCUUCCUUUCCAGGGACCCUUUUUGAGUCUGUUGGUCUUUUAUGCAGUGUCUCUGCUUUCUUUAAUAAGUUGAUUACACUGAAUAUCCAUUAAAGACCACUUUUUUUUUGCAGCAUAACUGAAUUUUGAAGAUAUCUCUGGAAUUCUUUGGGAAGAAAUGGAUAACUACAUAAAACUAUAUCUGAGUAUAUUGAACAAUCUCAAGAAAAGUAUUAUUGGGCACCGAAAAUUAUUUGAAUUCUCUUUCUUUUCUGUUUUGUUGAAUUUCAUUAGACGCUCAAAUUCUAAAAGUGAGGCAUCUAUCUUGCACUUUGGCCGAGUGCCUGGAUCUGUUUGAAAUUGGAUCUUAUAAAUAUUCCAUCAAGUCCUAUGUAAUGGGUUUGCUUUUUCCUGCCAGUUAGCCUGUGUGGAUGGCAUCUGAAACGUUUGUGACAUUUUUGCAAAACUUGACAAAAACAUUUCAAGCAUUAAUAGUUUAGUUAAUAAAUUACUCAGCACCCAAACACUACAUUAGUUAAGAAAAUUCUUGACACCAAUCCUGCCAUUUUACGUUUGACAUUUGGUAGGUGACUGCUAGCCUGCAAUAUAUCAGUUUAAAGCUGCACCUCAAAUGGCAGCGCUUAGAAAAUGCCCAGUGCAAGGUGACUUGGCACUUUCCUAACGAGGAGGGACAACUAGUGAAAUCAGGUGGUUGGCUCCGUUUAAGAACUCAUUUCAUUUAGAGAGUCUGACUGGGCAGUCAUCUUUUUUUUUUUUUUUUUGAGAAAGAGUCUCACUCUGUCUCCCAGGCUGGAGUGCAGUGGCAUGAUCUCAUCUCACUGCAACCUCUGCCUCCUGGGUUCAAGCGAUUCUCCUGUCUCAGCCUGCCAAGUAGCUGGGACCACAGGCGUGCGCCACCAUGCCCAGCUAAUUUUUGUAUUUUUAGUAGAGACAGGGUUUCACCAUAUUGGCCAGGCUGGUCUUGAACUUCUGACCUUGAGAGAUCCGUCCACCUCGGCCUCCCAAAGUGCUGGGAUUACAGGUGUGAGCUACCGCGCCCAGCCUGGACUGGGUGUUCUACACUAGAAAGCUCCCUCUGCAUGCCCACGCAGGACUCAGCACCACAGGACCAAGCCAUGUGCAUUAGUACAGUGUUUAUGAAUACAUAUAUUCAUAGAUAAUUUAAACUAUUUUAAAAGUAGUGAUAAAAAUAACCUCCUCAAAUUGCAGUGUGUGCUACAUUUUAACACACUGGAAAAUAACAAGACAGUAAGACAUUACUUUGUGCUUCUAGAUUAAUUUCUUUGGGGAAGACUUUGAACUAAAGAUAAUCCUGCCAUUUUGUGGUCAGUAUUUGAAGUUCUUAUAAUCCAUUAUUAAUUUAAAAGUUCUAUCUCUAUAAUGAUCUUUCUUGGAAUUUAGGCUUGUGAUUCCCACUAAUGUCAAAGUCUGUAAAAGACAGUAUUUCCAAAGCAUUACAUAUAUGUGUGUG
ensembl:lncRNA